UUAGAGUUUGAUCCUGGCUCAGAUUGAACGCUGGCGGCAGGCCUAACACAUGCAAGUCGAGCGGUAGAGAGAAGCUUGCUUCUCUUGAGAGCGGCGGACGGGUGAGUAAUGCCUAGGAAUCUGCCUGGUAGUGGGGGAUAACGUUCGGAAACGGACGCUAAUACCGCAUACGUCCUACGGGAGAAAGCAGGGGACCUUCGGGCCUUGCGCUAUCAGAUGAGCCUAGGUCGGAUUAGCUAGUUGGUGAGGUAAUGGCUCACCAAGGCGACGAUCCGUAACUGGUCUGAGAGGAUGAUCAGUCACACUGGAACUGAGACACGGUCCAGACUCCUACGGGAGGCAGCAGUGGGGAAUAUUGGACAAUGGGCGAAAGCCUGAUCCAGCCAUGCCGCGUGUGUGAAGAAGGUCUUCGGAUUGUAAAGCACUUUAAGUUGGGAGGAAGGGCAGUUACCUAAUACGUGAUUGUUUUGACGUUACCGACAGAAUAAGCACCGGCUAACUCUGUGCCAGCAGCCGCGGUAAUACAGAGGGUGCAAGCGUUAAUCGGAAUUACUGGGCGUAAAGCGCGCGUAGGUGGUUAGUUAAGUUGGAUGUGAAAUCCCCGGGCUCAACCUGGGAACUGCAUUCAAAACUGACUGACUAGAGUAUGGUAGAGGGUGGUGGAAUUUCCUGUGUAGCGGUGAAAUGCGUAGAUAUAGGAAGGAACACCAGUGGCGAAGGCGACCACCUGGACUGAUACUGACACUGAGGUGCGAAAGCGUGGGAGCAACCAGNUA
rnacentral:rRNA from 1 species